UCGGGAAUUUUGCUCAAUGGGGGAAACCCUGAAGCAGCAACGCCGCGUGAGGGAUGAAGGCCUUCGGUUGUAAACCUCUUUAUCAGGGACGAUGAUGACGGUACCUGAUGAAUAAGCCACGGCUAACUACGUGCCAGCAGCCGCGGUAAUACGUAGGUGGCAAGCGUUGUCCGGAUUUACUGGGCGUAAAGAGCGCGCAGGCGGUCGUUUAAGUCGAAUGUGAAAGCCCCCGGCUCAACUGGGGAGGGUCAUUCGAUACUGAUCGACUUGAAGGCAGGAGAGGGAAGUGGAAUUCCGGGUGUAGUGGUGAAAUGCGUAGAUAUCCGGAGGAACACCAGUGGCGAAGGCGACUUCCUGGCCUGUUCUUGACGCUGAGGCGCGAAAGCUGGGGGAGCGAACGGGAUUAGAUACCCCGGUAGUCCCAGCCGUAAACGAUGGACACUAGGUGUUGGUGGUAUCAACCCCGCCAGUGCCGUAGCUAACGCAUUAAGUGUCCCGCCUGGGGAGUACGGCCGCAAGG
rnacentral:rRNA from 1 species